AACGAACGCUGGCGGCAUGCCUAACACAUGCAAGUCGAACGAGACCUUCGGGUCUAGUGGCGCACGGGUGCGUAACGCGUGGGAACCUGCCCUUAGGUUCGGAAUAACUCCCCGAAAGGGGUGCUAAUACCGGAUAAUGUCUUCGGACCAAAGAUUUAUCGCCUUUGGAUGGGCCCGCGCUGGAUUAGCUGGUUGGUAGGGUAAAAGCCUACCAAGGCGACGAUCCAUAGCUGGUCUGAGAGGAUGAUCAGCCACACUGGGACUGAGACACGGCCCAGACUCCUACGGGAGGCAGCAGUGGGGAAUAUUGGACAAUGGGCGAAAGCCUGAUCCAGCAAUGCCGCGUGAGUGAUGAAGGCCUUAGGGUUGUAAAGCUCUUUUACCCGGGAUGAUAAUGACAGUACCGGGAGAAUAAGCUCCGGCUAACUCCGUG
rnacentral:rRNA from 1 species